rnacentral:rRNA from 1 species
UCAGCUCGUGUCGUGAGAUGUUGGUUAAGUCCCGCAACGAGCGCAACCCUCGUCCUAUGUUGCCAGCGGGUCAUGCCGGGGACUCAUGGGAGACUGCCGGGGUCAACUCGGAGGAAGGUGGGGAUGACGUCAAAUCAUCAUGCCCCUUAUGUCUUGGGCUUCACGCAUGCUACAAUGGCCGGUACAGAGUGACGCGAAGCCGCGAGGUGGAGCAAAUCGCAGAAAAUCGCUCUCAGUUCGGAUUGGAGUCUGAAACCCGACUCCAUGAAGGUGGAAUUGCUAGUAAUCGCGCAUCAGCAUGGCGCGGUGAAUACGUUCCCGGGCCUU